rnacentral:rRNA from 1 species
GACGAACGCUGGCGGCGUGCUUAACACAUGCAAGUCGAACGGAAAGGCCCUGCUUUUGUGGGGUGCUCGAGUGGCGAACGGGUGAGUAACACGUGAGUAACCUGCCCUUGACUUUGGGAUAACUUCAGGAAACUGGGGCUAAUACAGGAUAGGAGCUCCUGCUGCAUGGUGGGGGUUGGAAAGUUUCGGCGGUUGGGGAUGGACUCGCGGCUUAUCAGCUUGUUGGUGGGGUAGUGGCUUACCAAGGCUUUGACGGGUAGCCGGCCUGAGAGGGUGGCCGGCCUCCAUGCGCCUGCGGUAGGGCCCAGACUCCUACGGUAGGCAGCAGGGGGGAAUCUUACACAAUGGGCGGAAGCCGGUUGCAGCGACGCCGCGUGCGGGAUGACCGCCUUCUGGUUAUAAACCGCUUUCGCCUGUGACGAAGCGGGAGUGACGGUAAUGGGUAAAGAAGCACCGGCUAACUACGUG